rnacentral:rRNA from 1 species
CCUACGGGAGGCAGCAGUGGGGAAUAUUGGACAAUGGGCGCAAGCCUGAUCCAGCCAUGCCGCGUGUGUGAAGAAGGUCUUCGGAUUGUAAAGCACUUUAAGUUGGGAGGAAGGUCAGUAGCUUAAUACGUUGCUGAUUUGACGUUACCGACAGAAUAAGCACCGGCUAACUCUGUGCCAGCAGCCGCGGUAAU